ACCAAUCUUAACUUUUGAUUUUGCAUUUUAUCUUUUAUAAGUUAUAUAUAAUCUUGUUUUGGCUUGUUUUAUUUGUAAAAGAAAAUCUGCCUAAUAAUUAUGCAUACCUGGAUAUAAGGCGUUUUUCACUUCCAAGUUCCAGCCUCCUCCUUUUCUAACAUGUAAUUCAUAAACGUUCACUUACCUUACUCCACUGUACAUUUAAGUUAUUAGACAAAAUACUUAGUCUGAUGAUGGUCAUCAAACACGUUAAUAUACUUUUUAAACAUUUAUAACUUCGUGUAUGUUAACGUCACACACACACACACAAAACUAAACAGCACCAUGCUGAGAGGUUUAGACUGCUGGACUGGCUGGUGGUUGCACGUUCAAUUUUAAAAAGACGAAAAAACCCUCGCUGAGUAACAGUUCACGACCCACUGUCUCACUAUGUAAAUACUGGUAAGCUUCGUUACAUUUUUUUUUUUUACAUAUAAUUUUCCCUUGCUGCUCCAUCAACUCCUUCUGACAGGGCAGUUAAUAUAGGUUAACUCUGGACACUUCUUCAUAUCGUCUAACAUUACCCACGUUAACAGCGACGAUGGAUGGGACAAUUUGAGACCAUUUGAUCGUCGUAAGACGUUUUCAUCGUUCUACCAAUUUAUAACAUAACGUUAUUUGUCAUUUCGCCACAGUUAUAGCUAGCCAUAAACAAUCUUACAAUUACUAAACUAGUAACCGGACGUGCCGUUAUCGGUUUAGCGGAAGUCGGAUGACAAAAUGCGGAAAUGCGAAAUAUUAAAAGUGGGCGGGGCGGAAUAAGGUGAAUUGAACAAGUUCAUUCAUAGAACAAGGAUGACACCCAGCGGUCGCUCAACACCGACUUCUUUCACAUGGUCCCUUUAUAAAUCCAAUUUGACGUAUUACAAAGCAUUACUUUGAACCAAAAAACUUUCUCGGACGGUUCUCCAAGACAUUUGCUUUCCAAGACAAUGGAUGAAAGUGAGUAUUUUAUCAUUUCUUGUUAUCUGAUGGUAGUGAUAUUUAAAUACUAUUAAUUGAUCAAAGUAUGUUAUGCUAUUUUUACAUUCUACGAUGUUCGUCUUUAAACCAUAUUACAUUUCAUUCCUGUAAUAAAACAUGCAUCGGUAUUUUAUUUAAUCUGCUGAUAGAGAUAUUUUAACACUAUAUUCAUAAAGUAUGUGUUAUUUGACUUAAUAUCGAUGCAUCUAAUGUCUCAAUCACCGCCAGACUGUUUGUAUGGGAAAAACACACUUUUAUUUUGAAAGGACGGUGACAUCCUGUUGAAAAUACUUUUAUUUUGAAAAUAUGACAAUAUCCUGUUGAAAAUAUUUUUAUUUUGAAAAGAAGUGACAUCCUUUCGACACGUGCUUAGCUUUCCGUGCUUCAAUUCAGUUUGCUAUGUAUAGGAUUUCAGAAAAACAAUUCUGUGUCCGUUAAAUCGACGUUUUACCACCGCGGUAUCCGUUUGUCAUCUAUGAACACGACAUCGCGGGAUGUAAGCAUUCCCGGUUAGGAAUGCACGGUUCUAUCUCAGCACCAUUUUCCUGGUUGCUAACUGCUCUCAGUGAAACGACAUAUGAUGGUGAAAUUUCUCCCCCCGGUUCAAAUAUUGAGCAGCAAGCCUUUGACGGUAUUAAUACACUGGGCGUGAUUGAUCCAGACAGCGCAGCCGAUGAUUUCAUACAAUUUAUCACCCAACCCAGCUUCCAGACAGUUAUCGAUCUCACGCAAGAUGGUGAUGAAGAUCCCACCGUCAACGUAACAGACAAACCUCACAUCCUACCUGGUUCCAAUCCGGCGCACGUCGAGAAUCCAGUAGGAUCCGGCAGCGAACCACUUCCUGGACCCAGGAUGAACAAGCUAAAAAGGAGCCUAGAAAAACUAAUCGUCCCACCUCGCCGGUCAGUCCUGGAACAGACGGUGAACCACCAAGAAAGACUUAUCGUUUUACAGCGGUGGUCCGACCUGAACCGAAUGGCGAACUACCAAGAAAGGCUUAACGUUUUACCCCGGCGAUCAGUCCUGAGAGCUCUCCAGAGAGGAAAACUCUUUGUCUGACACCACCGAACAGCCCGGGGACCAGUCCUGAGACUGCGCUGUUUUAUGCAGACUCGAGUAGAAGCCUCUUGGACGAGCGAGCGUGACGAGGUGUCAACCACCAACCUGGGUCAAACACCAUAUCCUUCUCGCUCACCGUCUUCGGAAGGAGUAGAAGUGGAAGAAGUGCCGGCGCCUCAGCCGGUUGAUGAACCAUUCGGUGAUCUGCCUCCGACACGCAGGUUGACAUAAACAACAAAUACGUCGAACUCCAUGACUUACAAGAUGAUAUUAACAACAAAUUGAUUGCAUUGCGCAGCGAGUCUCGUGACAGACAAAUCGAAACCUAUAGCAGAUUAGACGCGUUGCACAGCGAGCUACAUGCCUCGAGACGUGCAGUCGAUUCGAUGCACAGGAUCACUUUAUUCAGGAUCUGGCCAAUUAAAUAUUUAGUCGCGUCAAUGCUAUGAGAUCAGUGAUUGAUCAGCAGUUUGAUAGGAAUGAUCGUAUGGUGAGUCAAUACCAACGGGAAUUGGUGCUCAUUUUGCAUCACCUUAUUCUCACCAUCAUAGAUGAGACCACAGAGUCAAAUCGAAUAUAGAUAUAGUAUUCCGAGUAAUUCUUAUAUCGCACGUCUGCUAUGAUUUUUUUAUAUUUCAUGUAUGCUUUUUAUACUUUGUUUACAUAUAAUCCGAUAUUUCAUUUAUACUCUGAUUUUGUAAUAGUUCAUUUAUGAUUUUUUAUACUAUAUGAAAUUUGUAAUAGUUCAUGUAUGUUUUAACUCUAUGAUUUUGUAAUAGUACGUGUUUUGGUCUGAAACCAAAAAAAUGGACGGGUCAGAUGAUUUAUGUCAAUCAGACCAAUCCUCCACAGAACUGACGACAGACGAGAUCGAAAUGCUAAGUGUACUGCCGGACUUUUUAGAACAGUAUUUGUUUAAUCUAGAAUCCCCUGCUAUUUUUUUGCUAUGUAAAUCCAAAUAUGAAUUUGUUUGAUCCUCUGCUAAGCCUAGACAACGAUCCCAUUGUACAACACGGCUGCGUUUUAAACAGACCACUGGCAGCGUGUACCGAGGCUGAUCCUGACAACAUAGAGCACCCCGUCAGUAAUGAUACUUCGCAACCGUCCGCAUCAGGUAAUGUCGACCCUACUACACAGACUCGAUUAAGCUGUACAGACGUUGAUAGGUUGAUUCACGAGGGUGGGGACGUUAACGGAUAUCAUGUUUUACCACGACCUCAUUUCAAUAGCGUGCCAUUGAGAAGGACUACGAAUCUGAGAGAGAUUAACUCUACAGAUUUGGGCUCUUACCACAUCCACUUACAUGACAUGCUUACUGGAAAUGUGAAUUUCGCUAGGGAAUUUGACCAAAAUUCUCCGGUGAUCGAUAUCACAUUGACGGCUCCCAAUUUACAGACACCCGUUGGUGGGAUUUUAACCCACGGUAAUAAUUACGACAUGGAUGGGUUUAAGGAUUAAAUUUGAUAGAGUUUUACAGAGCAACGACCGGUUACUAUCUGACCGAACCGUAGAAUUUGAACCUUCCGUAGCCAUGAACAGACAAGGCGGCGGUCGUCGGAAACUCGUGGACUUGGCUGUUGAUGAGGUGAUCAAAAGGAAAAAGACGAGUUUAUUUUGCGCGACCAAUAUUUCAAAUAAUUUGUGCUUCUCCAUCUGUCUCGCCCGUUUUCUUAACCCCCAACAUCCCGAGAGUGAGUUAGAAAAACUGGAUACAGUCAUCCAAAACAGCGUCGGCUUCUCAAUCCAAGACCGAAUCGGAUUUCACAGAUAUUUCACAGAUCUAUCACCAUGAUCUUAGAAACCUACAAAAAUUCAGACGAACCCCAUCCAAAAACGGUGUUGCUGUAUCUCCACGACAACCACUACUACAUGAUAACGAGUUUGAAGGCAUUCAUCGGUUCAACAUUUGUGAGUCCAUUUUGCUACAAAUCUUACACCAACCGCAGUGCCCAUCGAUGUAAACACGCCUGCAACAUCUGUUUCGAUGCGGAAUGUUACAGGUCCCCUGUAAGAAUCAUACAUUGACCCAAUUGUUUGCGUUAUUGUAAUCGACUUAUUGUCGAUUUAAUCGACUUAUUGUUUCGAAAUGCAUUAAACAAACCCACCUCCCGGUCAGGAAAACCCCACCUGUGAUAUGAUCAAAUACUGCAAACUAUGUAAUAGACGUUACAGCGUAAAACCGGGCAAUGAGAAAACCAAACACAUAUGUGCCCCAGACAAAUGUGUGCAUUGUCGAGAGCGUCUGAUGGACGAUGGGGCACAUCAAUGCUUCAUUCAACCUCUAGAGCCUAAGGAACCGUGUGAAAAAUACGUCUUUUACGAUUUUGAAACGCGUUACGAAAACUGCCGCCACGAGGCUAAUUUUGUCUGUGCCCUGACAUUCAAAGGUCAGAAAUGUACCGCCUACGGUACGGACUGCAUCGCUAAGGUAAUCAAGCGCUUCAGACAACUCCGAUACAAAGGCUACUGCUUCAUCGCUCAUUACGCCUCCAGAUUUGACACCUUUCUAAUUCUGGAGUAUUUUUGCAAAGCAGGGAUCGUGCUUGAGGUCAUAAUGCAAGGGUGCAAACUUCUGGUGUACGACGACGCAUGUGCCCAACGAUACAUCGAUAGCUACUAAUUUUUCCCAUUCGCUCUCGCCAAAAUGCCCGCGACGUUAUACUUGACGACGACUGAAAAAGGCUAUUUCCCCCAUCUUUUCAACAGGGUGGAAAAUGAGAACUACGUCGGACCGUACCCUGACAAAAGUUCUACAACUACGAGAACAUGUCGGAUAAAGUUUGAGGCGUGGUACAGCACGGUGAAGGGCAAGUUCUUUAACUUCAAGAAAGAACUGUAUGCCUACGGCGUUAACGACGUUGUGUUAUUGCGUGAACGAUGCAUGAAGUACAGGACGUCAUUCCUACACUGCACCCAACUCGACCCUUUUGGGUUCACGACGAUCGCCAGCUGCGCAGUGGGGGUCUUCAAAACACAUUAUCUCACCAGAAACACGCUCGCCCUGAUGCAUAACAAAGCAUACAUUCAUCAGAAUAAGUCCUACUCAAGCGGUUCGAUCCAGUGGCUCGAGUAUAUAAAAAAGACUUGAAACGUGGAAGGUCAUCACGCCGUAAACCACGGCGAAGUAUAGAUCGGUAAGUACUUUUAGACUGCUACUACGAGCAGGACGGCGUCAGGCACGGCUUAGAAUGGGGGGGUGCGUCAUCCAUGGACACUGCUGUCGCUUUGAACCCAAUCAGACGCACCCCCUGUCCGGAGUACCCUACGGGGUUCUCAGGAACCAGUUUGACGAUAAGGUUGAAAUUCUCCGGAACACGUAUGGUUUGCAAAUCGAGGUUCUGUGGGAAUACGAAUGGAAUCGGAUGAAAAAGACCGAUCCCUCUGUGAUAGAAUUUAUGGCUGAUUAUUCCGCCCCAGAGAGAUUGAAUCCAUGUGAUGCGCAUUACGGAGGCCGAACCGAACGCCUAUAAACUAUACUACAAAGUGAGCGGCGAUGAGAAAAUAAGAUAUCUGGAUUUCACCAGUCUGUACCCUUUCUGUCAGGUCAGGAAAAGCUACCCAAUCGGACACCCCGAAAUCAUUUUCACAGAUUUCGAACCGAUUGAAAAUUAUUACGGACUUAUCACAGCCACCGUGUACCCUCCCCGCAACUUACUGCACGGCAUCCUCGCUUUCAGAUCCCGAGGAAAACUCAUGUUUCUGCUAUGUAGAACCUGCGCUCAAGACCAAAACCAGACCUCGAGCUUUACCCACACAGACCAGGAAAGAUCGCUUUCGGGCUGGUGGGUCAGUAUUGAGCUUAUAAAAGCCAUCGAGAAGGGCUAUGUGGUAGCCAAGAUAGAUGAGGUUUGGCAUUUUCCACAACGGUCAGACACGUUGUUUGCUGAAUACGUAAAAACCUUCUUGCGUUUGAAACAAGUUUCGGGCUACCCAUCGAACGUCGUCACGGAUGCAGAGAAAGAGGCUUACAUUCGUGACUAUUUUGAAAAAGAGGGCAUUCAACUUGACCCAGAAAAAAUCAAUAACAACGCUGCCCAAAGGGCCAAAUACAUCCUGGCUCAGACAGAAAACAUUGUGAGAGAUAAAAAAGACUCUCACAUUACAAAACAAAUCAGUCUUUAAAAGGUUCAAGGUCGUCUACGAUAAACAUUGGCUUUUAAGCGAUUAUACCACGCUUCCUUUGGGCUACUGAUCAGAUGACGAUGCACAGAGGGUCUCAGGAUGUGUCCGAUUUUGAUUUCAGACUUCAACACCCUUUCAGCUGUGUUGUAUCUGGACCGUCCAAUUCCGGAAAGUCUUAUUUUGCAAAACUUUUGUUGGAAAAAGGUUUGAAUAUCAUUUCAAAGAAAAUUGAAAAGUUUGUUGUAUGAUUGCUGGCAAACUUUGAACGAUGAUUUACUUCAAUUGUAUGACAUUACAUUUAUACAAGAAAUACCCCAGAGUCUGAAUGAUGAUGAUUUACUGCCUGUUACCACUGCUUACCUUCUCGUGGUCGACGAUCUCAAUGUUUGGUGGUGUCAGACAAAGAGUUUUCCUCUCUGGAGAGCUCUCAGGACUGAUCCCCGGGGUAAAACGAUAAGCCUUUCUUGGUAGUUCGCCGUUCGGUUCAGGUCGAACCACCGCUGUAAAACGAUAAGUCUUUCUUUGUGGUUCGCCGUCCGGUCCAGGACUGACCGGCGAGGUGGGAAGAUUCGUUUAUCUAGGCUUCUUUCUUGCUGGUUCGUCGCAGGGUCCAGGAAGUGGUUUUCCGCCGGAUCCUAUUGGAUUCUCGACGUGCUCUGGAGUGGAAUCAGGUAGGAUGUGAGGUUUGUCUGUUAUGUUGAUGGUGGGAUCUUCGUCGCCAUCUUGCGUGAGAUCGAUUACUGUCUGGAAGCCGGGUUGGGCGAUAAAUUGUAUGAAAUCUAAAAAUAAAAUUUGAUUUCUUAUAAGCAUAAAAGAAAUCUAAAAUUUACAUUUCUCAUAAAAAUGUUGGAGAUGGAUCUUGUUUUACCAUCGGCUGUGCUGUCUGGAUCAAUCGCGCCCACUGUGAAAAAAAAAAAUUACAUUUAUAAAAAGACAAAAUUAAAAUACGUUCAGUUUAAUUUAUAAAAAGAAUAGUUCAUAUGUACUUAUGUGUAUUAAUACAGUCAAAGGCUUGCUGCUCAAUAUUUGAACCUGAGAUAAAAAAUAAAAAACCUGUUAUGAUUUAAAACACAUGGAGAGGGUUUUUAUUUGCUAGUUUAAUGGAGCACACACACACAGACAGACUGUGACAAAGAAAUCAUGAUGUCAUAACAUUAAACCGCAAGCAGAUGGCACAAUUUUCACUAUAACACGGUGUCAUAACAUUAAACCUCCGCAGAUGGCACAAUUUUCACUAUAACACUGUGUCAUACCAUUAAACUGCCGGAGAUGGCACAAUUUUCACUAUAACAGGAUCAUUUCACCACAGACUCACCGGGGGGAGCCAUUUCACCAUCAUAUGUCGUUUCACUGAGAGCAGUUAGCAACCGGGAAAAUGGUGCUGAGAUAGAACCGUGCAUUCCUAACCGGGAGCGCUUACACCCCGCAAUGUCGUGUUCAUAGAUGACAAACGGAUAACGCGGUGGUAAAACGUCGAUUUAACAGACACAGAAUUGUUUUUCUGAAAUCCUAUACAUAGCGAACUGAAUUGAAGCACGGAAAGCUAAGCACGUGUCGAAAGGAUGUCACGUCUUUUCAAAAUAAAAGUAUUUUCAACAGGAUGUCACCAUCUUUUCAAAAUAAAAGUUUUUUUUCAUACAAACAGCCUGGCGGUGAUUGGGACAUUAGAUGCAUCGAUAUUAAGUCAAAUAACAUACUUUAUGAAUAUAGUGUUAAAAUAUCUCUAUCAGCAGAUGAAAUAAAAUACAGAUGCAUGUUUUAUUACAGGAAUUAAAUGUAAUAUGGUUUAAAGAUGAACAUUGUAGAAUGUAAAAAUAGCAUAACAUACUUUGAUCAAUUAAUAUUUAAAUAUCACUACAAUCAGAUAAAAUAAGACAGCAAAAACUUGAAGAAAAUUACAGGAAUUAAAUGUAAUAUGGUUUAAAGGCAUCAUAUACUGUAAAAAUAGCAUAACACACUUUGAUCAAUUAAUAGUAUUUAAAUAUCACUACCAUCAGAUAACAUGAAAUGAUAAAAUACUCACUUUUAUCCAUUGUCUUGGAAAGCAAAUGUCUUGGAGAACCGUCCGAGAAAGUUUUUUGGUAUAAAGUGAUGCUUUGUAACACGCGAAAAUGGAUUUAUAAAGGGACCAUGUGAAAGAAAUCGGUGUUGAGUGACCGCUAAGUGUCAUCCUUGUUCUAUGAAUGAACUUGUUCAAUAGGUGGGAAGCUGAGCAUGGUUCACGCGUGUCAUAAUAAAUUUGUGGGCAUGAGAGAUGGUAGACGCUGAUCGUCGUAAUUCAUAGAUGCACCCGUCAGAAAACUGUAAAAAACAUGGUACUCCUGCAUGAGAUACGUUGGUUUUAAUUAACAAUGUCUUUAAAGAUAUUAUGAUUGGGUAGUAAAUUUGGACGAGAGUGAACUAUAGCGUGCAAACACAGACACUGGGGUCAGGAAAAAGGUGAUGUGAAAACAACUCCUUCAGAAAACAUUAUUACAACUUUAAAAUUUAGGGAUUAUAAUUUGAAAAUAAUUUUAACCAUAACAAAACAUUGGCCGUGUCUCAUUGUGAUCGCUGAUUCAGAGAGAGUCUGACAGACGGAGCUGCGAGCCUGUUUCUCACAAAGCUGAAGCUUCUGUCUAAAAUAAGGUAGGUGGAUUGGUUUCAGUAAGCUUUUUAUAAUUCUUUUAAAGAACAGAAUGUUUUUCAACCUUAGUUAAAUUGCUUUAGAUUAUGUAUAAUAUAUAAAGGAUAGAAUAUAAAGAACAGUGUGUUUUCAUAGGGUUUUAUAUAUAAAUGUUAAAUAACUGAAAUGUUUUUCAACCUUUAAUUGUUUUAGAUUAUAUAAAUUAUAGACUGUUUUAUAUAUAAAUGUGAAAUAACUGAAAUGUUUUUCAACCUUUAAUUGUUUUAGAUUAUGUAUAUUAUAUAAAUUAUAGAAUAUAAAGAACGGCAUGUUUUCAACUUUAGCAUGAAAAUUUAUUAUAUUAUAUAAAUUAUAUAAAUUAUAGAAUGUUUUAUAUAUAUAUAUAAAUGUGAAAUGACUGUCUGACAUCCACUCCCAUUACAUUCCUGAGCAGUAUAAAAAUGGGGUCGGUGUCAGACAGUUCUCUCUGUAUGCAGCCAACCGCACACACACACACACACACACAAACAUACACACACAUAACCCAUAUAACUGGGACAAAGUUCAAACAACCGGCAAAUAGCUUCUGUCAAAACCACAUGAUCGAUGUGGGGAGGUGUGGGGAGGGUUAGUAUACCGUAAAACUACCCGUCAAAAACUAUGAUUUAGAACUAACUAGGUCAAUAGGGUAAAGGCUUCUGUCAAAACCACAUGAUCGAUGCGUGGGGAGGGUUCGUAUACCAUAAAACUACCCGUCAAAAACUAUGAUUUAAAACUAACUAGGUCAAUAGGGUAAAAGCUUCUGUCAAAACCAAAUGAUCGAUGCGUGGGAAGGGGUCAAUAGGUUAAUCGAUGAACUCAUUCGGAAAGUUCAACCCAUCCAUCAUAAGGUUACCGGAAGUUCAACCUGUCAAAAAGGUCAAAGGUCAAAGUCGUAAAUCAUCUUGACACAAAGUGUAUCAUAAUCACUACUUGUACUUUUUUAGCUGAAAAAUAAUGCUACAGUUGGAGGAAAACACAGCGUAUUUCAUUUCAUUCAUCAUCAAGUGUGCUCAUUCCUGUUGAUGUCAUUAAUCUGGCAACCUGUGUGUAACGUCAAGUCUGAGGAGGAGGGGCCGUGUAAAAACAAACCUUUUCCAAUAUUUCGAAUUUGGACUGCAAUACCUAGUUCAAUCACUCUGUGUAAAUCCUACAUACAGCACCUUUUAGAAAAUGUGCAAUUAAUUAGUAAAUAUUUUUAAUUGAUUGACAGCACUGAUUAUUAAUCUGCUGUCUUUAUUGUUAUUUUUCAGCCAGUUCUCUAAGAAGAGACUUUUAUGCUUAAUAUUUGCUCAAUUAUUACAGUUUUCUUGAGAAAUGUAACAUAUUUUUUCUGUUUAAGGUGAAAUCGCAGCUAUUGUGAUUGGAUCUCUGUGUGGAUGUAUAGGCUUGGCUGUUAUCAUCUGCUUUAUUGUGAAAACCAUUCGAUCGCAAGAUAUGGC